rnacentral:rRNA from 1 species
UGGGGAAUCUUGGACAAUGGGGGCAACCCUGAUCCAGCCAUGCCGCGUGAGUGAUGAAGGCCUUAGGGUCGUAAAGCUCUUUCGCCUGUGAAGAUAAUGACGGUAGCAGGUAAAGAAACCCCGGCUAACUCCGUGCCAGCAGCCGCGGUAAUACGGAGGGGGUUAGCGUUGUUCGGAAUUACUGGGCGUAAAGCGCACGUAGGCGGACCAGAAAGUUGGGGGUGAAAUCCCGGGGGCUCAACCCCGGAACUGCCUCCAAAACUAUUGGUCUAGAGUUCGAGAGAGGUGAGUGGAAUUCCAAGUGUAGAGGUGAAAUUCGUAGAUAUUCGGUGGAACACCAGUGGCGAAGGCGACUCGCUGGUCCGGUACUGACGCUGAGGUGCGAAAGGCGUGGGGAGCAAACAGGAUUAGAUACCCUGGUAGUCCACACCGUAAACGAUG